UACGUAGGGUGCAAGCGUUGUCCGGAAUUAUUGGGCGUAAAGAGCUCGUAGGCGGUCUGUCACGUCGGCUGUGAAAACCCGAGGCUCAACCUCGGGCCUGCAGUCGAUACGGGCAAACUAGAGUACUGCAGGGGAGACUGGAAUUCCUGGUGUAGCGGUGAAAUGCGCAGAUAUCAGGAGGAACACCGGUGGCGAAGGCGGAUCUGCUGGGCCAUUACUGACGCUGAGGAGCGAAAGCGUGGGGAGCGAACAGG
rnacentral:rRNA from 1 species